AAUCACCGCAGACAUUUCACUCCGGGCGCAGACAGACGGAGGACGGACUUUAAGUGAUCGCUGAAACCCUCCAGAACCAGCAGGACAGAGAUGACAGGAAUGAAGGACACAAGAAGAUGAUCGACUGCCAUUGUAACAAACAUCAAGAUGGCUGAUGAGUCUGCAGAGACAGAGAGCUGCUCCUCAAUCUGACCAAAGCAGGACAUCCUGAAGAGUUUUCUGGCAGCUUUGAGGAAAUUGGCCACUUUACUCUUCUUCCUCUGAGUCGUUCCCUCAUCCUCCUCUACCUCAUCUAUUAAGAGAAAUGAUUGUUGUUUACACAAUUUUUAGAUCAUUCCUUAUGAACAGAAAAAAAAGCACAUGGCUAUUGUAGCUAAGCCUUUAUUACAACAUAUUCAUCAUGAUUUUGGUACAUUUACCAUAGUUUAUUUGUAAUAAAACUGUGGUUACACAAAUGGUAAUUUAUUUUACUGCAUUUGUGUGAUAAUAAGGGUUGUUUUAUACAAACACAAAUAUGUCAUUGCAUAUAAAAACAGGAUGUUUUACGUAAAAUCUUAAAGCAAGUGAAAUAUGUUUCUAUAGCCUUUAAGACUCAAUUGAAAAGAUUAUUCGAGUGAAAGAAACUGAAGCCCUUCACCGAGUCAGAGUUUAGCUACAGACCGGCACAAGAUGAUCCAUCACUGUUUUAGUGAAAGUAAUAACAAGGAACGAAUAAACGACGUGAAUUAAAAUA